GUGGAGGUCCGAACCCACGAGCGUUGAAAAGCUCGGGGAUGACUUGUGGGUAGCGGUGAAAUUCCAAUCGAGCCCGGAGAUAGCUGGUUCUCCCCGAAAUAGCUUUAGGGCUAGCCUCAAGGUGAGAGAUACGGAGGUAGAGCACUGAAUGUCCUAGGGGGUAUUGCACCUACCGAAGACUAUCAAACUCCGAAUGCCGUCAUCUUAUACUUGGGAGUCAGACUGUGGGUGAUAAGAUUCAUAGUCGAAAGGGCAACAGCCCAGAUCGUCAGCUAAGGUCCCUAAAUGUAAGUUAAGUGGUAAAGGAUGUGGGAUUGCACAGACAACCAGGAUGUUGGCUUAGAAGCAGCCACUCAUUCAAAGAGUGCGUAAUAGCUCACUGGUCGAGUGAUCCUGCGCCGAAGAUUUCCGGGGCUAAAACUUACUACCGAAGCUACGGCAUCAGUAAUGAUGGGUAGGGGAGCUUCCCAUACGGGUUGAAGCAUGACCGUAAGGACAUGUGGACAGUAUGGGAGUGAGAAUGUUGGCAUGAGUAGCGAGAUGUGGGUGAGAAUCCCACAGGCCGUAAACCCAAGGUUUCCAGGGGAAGGUUCGUCCGCCCUGGGUUAGUCGGGACCUAAGCUGAGGCCGAAAGGCGUAGGUGAUGGACAACAGGUUGAUAUUCCUGUACUACCGAUAACCGUUUGAGAGAAGGGAUGACACAGUAGGAUAAGCUAAGCACACUGUUGGUUAUGUGUGCCCAAGCAUUGAGGCAGUCAAAGUAGGCAAAUCCGCUUUGAUAAUGCUGGGAUGUGAUGGGGAGCGAAAUUUAGUAGCGAAGUAGCUGAUUUCACACUGUCAAGAAAAGUCUCUAUCGAGGUUAAAGGUACCCGUACCGCAAACCGACACAGGUGGGUGAGGAGAGUAUCCUAAGGCCAGCGAGAGAACUGUUGUUAAGGAACUCGGCAAAAUGACCCCGUAACUUAGGGAUAAGGGGUGCCACCAUCAGGUGGCCGCAGAGAAUAGGCCCAAGCGACUGUUUACCAAAAACAUAGGUUUCUGCUAAGUCGCAAGACGAUGUAUAGGAGCUGACGCCUGCCCGGUGCUGGAAGGUUAAGGGGAUCUGUUAGAGCAAUCGAAGCAGUGAACUUAAGCCCCAGUAAACGGCGGCCGUAACUAUAACGGUCCUAAGGUAGCGAAAUUCCUUGUCGGGUAAGUUCCGACCCGCACGAAAGGCGUAACGAUUUGGGCACUGUCUCAACAACAGACUCGGUGAAAUUGUAAUUCCGGUGAAGAUGCCGGAUACCUGCGACAGGACGGAAAGACCCCAUGGAGCUUUACUGUAGCUUGACAUUGGGUCUUGGUACUACAUGUACAGGAUAGGUGGGAGGCUUUGAAACCAGGACGCCAGUUUUGGCGGAGCCAUCCUUGGGAUACCACCCUUGUAGUACUGGGACUCUAACCAUAGGCCAUGAAUCUGGUCUUGGGACACUGUCAGGUGGGCAGUUUGACUGGGGCGGUCGCCUCCCAAAAGGUAACGGAGGCGCUCAAAGGUUCUCUCAGUACGGUCGGAAAUCGUACGUAGAGUGUAAAGGCAAAAGAGAGCUUGAUUGCAAGACAUACAGGUCGAGCAAGGAUGAAAAUCGGACUUAGUGAUCCGGUGGUUCUGCGUGGAAGGGCCAUCGCUCAACGGAUAAAAGCUACCCUGGGGAUAACAGGCUUAUCUCCCCCAAGAGUCCACAUCGACGGGGAGGUUUGGCACCUCGAUGUCGGCUCAUCACAUCCUGGGGCUGUAGUAGGUCCCAAGGGUUGGGCUGUUCGCCCAUUAAAGUGGUACGCGAGCUGGGUUCAGAACGUCGUGAGACAGUUCGGUCCCUAUCCGUCGCAGGCGUAGGAAAUUUGAGAAGACCUGUCCUUAGUACGAGAGGACCGGGAUGGACGUACCUCUGGUGUACCAGUUGUCCUGCCAAGGGCAUGGCUGGGUAGCUAUGUACGGAAUGGAUAAGCGCUGAAAGCAUCUAAGCGCGAAGCCAACUUCAAGAUAAGAUUUCCCACCGCAAGGGUAAGACCCCAGAAAGACUAUCUGGUUGAUAGGUCGAAGGUGUAAGUGCAGCAAUGUAUUUAGCUUAUCGAUACUAAUAGGUCGAGGACUUGACC
rnacentral:rRNA from 1 species